GCAAGGUACGCUGGGACCAGGCGAGAAUAGGCGUACUGCCUAAUCUCUUAAAGGAGUAGGCUCCCAGAGUUUAAAAACAGUAAAACCAUUUCUGUCAUUUUUUAGUUCUUCUAUCGUAGCAUCUGUACUGACAUAAUCCGCACUUUAGGGUGAUGAAUGUCAAUUGCUACUUCUAUCUAGCCUCCUGCCAAAAUUGAUGCUCAGAAUCGCAGAAUCGGGGAGGUCCCUCCUGAGCAUCUCUAAGCUCCCCACUCAGAAAAGGAGGCGGCUUCGGGCUUUCGUUGGCUGCCGCCCCAUCCCUAAGAAGGAAGGGGAGCGUGUCUGCUUCCUGAAGGUUCGGAAAUCAAUCGAAAAUAAUCCAUGCAACCGUCCCACGACGUGAGCCCCACCCCUGCGCCCCAGGCCUCGCGGAGCCAGUUGGUCGCAGUUGUUGCGAGCCCGACGCCCAGCCCCGAAGGGGGCCCAGAAGAGCGUCCCAGGCGUCCGUGGGGUGGCCGGCUGUGGUCCUGGCGCCCAGAAGUGGCCAGGCCCGCUGGAUUUCCUGGGAUGCGGUCAAGUCCACAAAUACUGUCCGUGCAUCCUGAUGCUGGAGGGCGGGACCUUGGGCCGAGCGAGUGUGGCUCCGCCAGAAGGGCCCUCGGACACAACCGGUGCUGGAGGAACUACAAAGUGGAAGGAUUAGGAAACGCACAGGAACAUGUACGAAAGAAGGCGAAAUGUGAGGUGUAACUUACAUUUCUAGGAUAACUCAAGAAAAAUUCGCGUUUAAAGAGAACCUCUCUGGCGAAGCAUCAGGAAAGGCUUCCUGGUGGUGGUGCAUUCGAGGGUUGUCAUCAUAGUGUUAGUUUUUAUUUUUCCCUCAGGGAUUGUUACAUUACUCCCCCAAAUGGUUUUCCUACUCGUGAUCUCUAACAAAAUCCAUCCCAUAAGCAACCCCCGGAUUUAUGAUCUAAAAAGCCCAGUGGCUCUUUAGUUUGGCACUUGAUGACCUCCGUAUGAUUAGUCUUUCUAACCUCAUCUCACAGUUCUCCCUAAUUCAGUACUUUAAUCUUCCGUUGAGCUUGGGCAUUGCCACCAGCUGUGGACUGAACUAUUUCCCUCCUCCCCCAAUCCAUAUGUUAAAGCCCUACCCCACCCCAAUAUGUUGGUAUUUGGAGAUGGAGCCUUUGGGAGGUAAUUCAAUUUAGAUGAGGUCACCUUGGUGGGUCGCCCAUGGCGAGAUUAGUGCCCUUAUGAGAAAAAACAACGAAGAGCUUGUUCUCCUCUGUGUGCCAUGUGAGGACAGAGCAAGAAGGGGCUUUCACCUGGAACCCAAACUGCCCCAUCUUUAUCUGGGACUUAGCCUCCAGAAUUGAGAGAAGUAAAUGUCUGUUGUUAUAGCCA
rnacentral:lncRNA from 1 species